rnacentral:rRNA from 1 species
AAAAUCCGGGGCACUCUAUGCUGAGAACUGAUAGCAAGCUGUACUUGUACAGUGAAGUGGCUGAUACCAUGCUUCCAGGAAAAGUCUCUAAGCUUCAGUUACAUAGGAAUCGUACCCGAAACCGACACAGGUGGUCAGGUCGAGUAGACCAAAGCGCUUGAGAGAACGCUGCUGAAGGAACUAGGCAAAAUGAUACCGUAACUUCGGGAGAAGGUACGCUGCCGACGGUGAUAGGAUUUACUCCUUGAGCUAUUGGCAGCCACAGAAACCAGGCCCCUGCAACUGUUUAUUAAAAACAUAGCACUCUGCAAACACGAAAGUGGACGUAUAGGGUGUGAUGCCUGCCCGGUGCUGGAAGGUUAAUUGAUGGGGUUAGCGUAAGCGAAGCUCUUGAUCGAAGCCCCAGUAAACGGCGGCCGUAACAAUAACGGUCCUAAGGUAGCGAAAUUCCUUGUCGGGUAAGUUCCGACCUGCACGAAUGGCAUAAUGAUGGGGGCGCUGUCUCCAGCAGAGACUCAGUGAAAUCGAAUUCGCCGUGAAGAUGCGGUGUACCCGCGGCUAGACGGAAAGACCCCGUGAACCUUUACUGCAGCUUGACAUUGAACUUUGAUCUUACUUGUGUAGGAUAGGUGGGAGGCUUUGAAACCGAGACGCUAGUUUCGGUGGAGCCAAUCUUGAAAUACCACCCUGGUAAUAUUGAGGUUCUAACUCUGUCCCGUUAUCCGGGACGAGGACCAUGUCUGGUGGGUAGUUUGACUGGGGCGGUCUCCUCCUAAAGAGUAACGGAGGAGUACGAAGGUGCGCUCAGCGUGGUCGGAAAUCACGCGUAGAGUAUAAAGGCAACAGCGCGCUUAACUGCGAGACCCACAAGUCGAGCAGGUACGAAAGUAGGUCUUAGUGAUCCGGUGGUUCUGUAUGGAAGGGCCAUCGCUCAACGGAUAAAAGGUACUCUGGGGAUAACAGGCUGAUACCGCCCAAGAGUUCAUAUCGACGGCGGUGUUUGGCACCUCGAUGUCGGCUCAUCUCAUCCUGGGGCUGUAGCAGGUCCCAAGGGUAUGGCUGUUCGCCAUUUAAAGAGGUACGCGAGCUGGGUUUAGAACGUCGUGAGACAGUUCGGUCCCUAUCUACCGUGGGCGUUGGAAAUUUGAGAGGAUCUGCUCCUAGUACGAGAGGACCAGAGUGGACGAACCUCUGGUGUACCGGUUGUGACGCCAGUCGCAUCGCCGGGUAGCUAUGUUCGGAAGGGAUAACCGCUGAAAGCAUCUAAGCGGGAAGCCUACCUCAAGAUAAGAUUUCCCUAGGACUUUAUGUCCUCUAAAGAGCCGUUGAAGACUACGACGUUGAUAGGUUGGAUGUGGAAGCAUAGUGAUAUGUGAAGCUGACCAAUACUAAUUGCUCGUGAGGCUUGAC